GCCGAACUGGGGAGGAGGCAAGAAAUGUGGGGUGUGUCAGAAGACGGUUUACUUUGCCGAAGAGGUUCAGUGCGAAGGCAACAGCUUCCAUAAAUCCUGCUUCCUGUGCAUGGUCUGCAAGAAGAAUCUGGACAGUACCACUGUGGCCGUGCAUGGUGAGGAGAUCUACUGCAAGUCCUGCUACGGCAAGAAGUAUGGGCCCAAAGGCUAUGGCUACGGGCAGGGCGCAGGCACCCUCAGCACUGACAAGGGGGAGUCGCUGGGUAUCAAGCACGAGGAAGCCCCUGGCCACAGGCCCACCACCAACCCCAACGCAUCCAAAUUUGCCCAGAAGAUUGGUGGCUCCGAGCGCUGCCCCCGAUGCAGCCAGGCAGUCUAUGCUGCGGAGAAGGUGAUUGGUGCUGGGAAGGUAAGGCGGCUGCUGGGCAUGAGAGGGAUCAGGGGAGAUAUCUUCCUGAAAUGUGGAUUCCAGAACUUUUAAAUUGGUGACCUAGCUCUGCUCAGGGCAGCCUGAGCACUGGGGUUUAACCUCUUCUCUUUGUCCCUGUGGGUUGCAUGUACCUGUGCUUUCCAGUCUCCAAGGAGCUCAUAUCAGCCAUGAGCAGUAACAUCCCCAGCAUUGAUGGACAGUGGGCAAUUCAUAGGGAGUGGCAAUGAUCAAUCUGUAUCUCUAAUAUAGGAGAACAGAAAGUAAGGGUACGUGGAUGGGCUGCAGAGGGUCCACAAAGCCCUGAAGAUUAUAUACAAAGUUUCAUGGGAACCUGUCUGUUUCUUAGAAGAAGAUCCAUAGCUUUUAUUAAAUUUUCAAAGGAUUUGUGAUCCCAAAAAUAUACAUUCUGUUUCAUGGGAUGUGGACUCCCAAAAACCCAUCCAAAUAACCCCAGGGCAGAGAUUUUCAAGGUUCAGACCUAUCAGAGCCUCCUAGGAGGCUUUUUUCACACUGUUUAGAAUUGCCACACAUGCCCUUCCCCCAUGAUAUUCUGACAGUAGUCCCCAAUCACCAAUGCACAGUGAGAAUCACUGUAGCAAAUCAACAGUUCCCAAUUGAGCUGAUCACUUCCUUCAGAUAGGCUGCAGUAGAGAAGAGGCAGAACUCUUGCCCCUGGGGUUUGCAGUGUCAGAUUAGCAGUCAGAAAAUCACAGAAGAGAUGUCUUUCAGCUAUGGGGCCAGAGAGGAUUUCUGGAGCAUCACGUGAGGCCUGAGAUAGAAAAGUGACUUGGCCAAGAUCACACAACAAGGUUAUGGAAUGUCUGGGCCUGGAGCCCAUCUUCAUCUCUUCUGGAUUCAGGUUUUGGCUUUCAAGGCUUUUUGACCUUGAGGAAUGGGAUAGGGGAAUGGAUCAAGAAAUGUUAAACAAUUAACACUUAGGCCAAUGUUAGAAUCUCUACUCUCACAGUCAUGGUUGGACAGAGAUGGGGAUUAGUAUCCCUGUUGUACAGAUGAAGAAACUGGGAGUCAGAAGGAUUACACAAUUUGCCCAGAUCCGCUAGCUAGGAAGGGGCUAAGCCAGACUCAAGCCCAGGUUUGUCUGACUCCGAAGCCCCUGCUCUUACUGCUGUUACUACUGUUAAUGCUACUUUGGGCCAUUUGGCCUCUUCAAACCCAUUUCCAAGGCUGCAAAAUGGGAAGGGAUUGUUAAUCCUAGCACGGUGAUUAAGAGCUUGGACUCCAGACAGCCUGCUUUGAAUCCUAGUUUUGCCAUUUAUUGGCUGAGCGAACUUGGGAAAAUUUAGCCUUCCUAAGCCUCAGUUCUUCAGCUCUAAAGUGGGCCUGGAUGGUGGAGGAAAUGCAAAGUGGACCAAUUAAUGGUCCCUGACAAAUAAGGCAGUUUUUUUUGUUUGUUUGUUUUUGUUUUUGUUUUCUUUUGGCAGAAUUUCACACUUGUCACCUAGGCUGGAGUACAGUGGCGCGAUCUUAGCACUCUGCCUUCCGAGUUCAAGUGAUUCUCCUGCCUCAGCCUCCCGAGUAGAUGGGACUACAGGCACGCGCCACCACACCCAGCUAAUUUUUGUAUUUUUAGUGAAGAUGGGGUUUGACCAUGUUGGCCAGGCUGGUCUUGAACCAGCCUGGACCUCACGAUCCACCCACCUCGGCCUCCAAAAGUGCUGGGAUUACAGGUGUGAGCCACCACACCCAACAACAAGGCAGUUUUAAUGAUUAAAUGAGAUAGUACAUGUAUAAUGUGCAAUGUAGUGCCUGGUAUGUCCUCAGUACAGUUUUGCUAUUGUUAUUAUUAUUGUUGUUUAUUUUCAGGGAUUAUUAUGAGGUCACAAUGAAGAUCCUUGCCAUUGACUAAAGGAUAUGAAAACAGGAGACAUUAAUAUUAUUAUUAAGUUGGGUUUUUUGUUCUAUCUCAUUAUGAGAAUAGAAAAUUAUUAAGAAUAGCUAAGAAUCACUAUUUCCAUUACUUAGGCAGGCUAUAAGGUAAAGUUAGGGCUGUACUAAGGAGUAGGAUAAGAGAAUUUUGCAUUCAAGUGGAAAAGGUAGGGAGAAGCCCCACCUUUCUAUUGCCUCGCUCAAGAAAUGUUGAGCUGGGAGUACUUUUGGGUGCUUAUGAAUGAGCAAAGGGAUUCAGCUUAUUUUGGCAGGGAGGUGGCUAGGAAAUAUGAGGAGAGGUGUUUGUCUAGGUGUGAUUCAGUUUUUCUCCAGCCUAGAGAGCUUGGGGUAGCAGCCCCUGCUUUACAGAGGAGGCAGCAAAGGCUGGGUGACUAUUGAGGUUGCACCAGCACUGACCUAGACCCAGGUCCCCCCAUUUCAGCUCUCUGGAGGAGAAGCCAAUGUGCAAGUUUAGGCAACCAGGAAAUCUGAGGGGAUGAAUUUCCUUUCUCAUCCGCCAGCCUGGGCACUGGGAGUGUCUUUGCCCUUAAAAGGCCUUGUUUUGUCUUAUCUGACCGCCGCCUGCCUCUUGCUUUUCCUGGGUUAAGCAGAGCUGUCUACACAUCAGCCUCUUAGCCUGCCCAGCUGUUGAUGGGAACUGGCUGUGGAGAAGUCUGUCUGUGCAACGUCCCAUCACUGUGUACAAACUCGGGCCUCAGUUUUUUUCUGGGACAGCUGUUUGCCCUGUGUUACAGAAUGCAUGUGAGGACUAGAUAUUUAAACAUAUGAUGCCUGGCCACAGAGAAGGUAUUUGUAAUUGGAUUCUCCUGGACCAGCCCAGCCUCUGAAGUUCUAGAAUUAGGUGCCUCCUUUGCCCAAAGGCUAUCAGCUAUUGGAGGGGAGGGUGGCAGUAUGUCCCUCACUGGGUAGCUGUGAACACUAACUGACUUCACCAGUGUAAAGUGCCUGGCACAGGGCCUGGCACAGAGGAAGCCAGAGUCAAUGUUGUCUAGUAUCACUUUGGAAGGAGAAUAAGUCUAUGAAAUGCAUUAAACUCAGCAGGGAAAGUCCUAAGGAGUAGUUUCUCCAGGGGCCACAGAAGACCCUUUGGGUCUCUAUGAGAGGCCCCAAGGCAACACAGGGCAGAGAGGUCUUCCCGGUGAGGGCUGUUCAAGUACUAAGUGACAGUACCAGGAGGAGUGCAAAGCCCUGGCUCACACCACUGAUCUACUGGCAAGAUGGGUCUGGAGAAGGCUCAUCUGGCCCAGCCAGUGGGGUAACAGCUACUUUGGUGUUAAACCCACCCCCUCACCUGCCUUUUGUGGUAUAGCUGGUGACCCUAAUCAUCAGGCCAUUGCAACAUAGCAUGGAAGAUGGUGCGAGGUGGCAUGUGGUCCCUGGCCUUCUCCCUCUACUGCCUUGCACCAUAGGCCAUGUCCUCCCAGCAGCACCAGCUGAGCAGACUUCAGAAGUGGCUUGAGCCCUUAUACCAUGGUUAUGUCAAAGGGAGUGGGCCUGGGGUGGAGGGUACCCUCAUCACUGGUGGCAGCCUUUAACUAUUUCCUUCCCUGCCUAGUCCUGGCAUAAGGCCUGCUUUCGAUGUGCCAAGUGUGGCAAAGGCCUUGAGUCAACCACCCUGGCGGACAAGGAUGGUGAGAUUUACUGCAAAGGAUGUUAUGCUAAAAACUUCGGGCCCAAGGGCUUUGGUUUUGGGCAAGGAGCUGGGGCCUUGGUCCACUCUGAGUGAGGCCACCAUCACCCACCACACCCUGCCCACUCCUGCGCUUUUCAUCGCCAUUCCCUUCCCAGCAGCUUUGGAGACCUCCAGGAUUAUUUCUCUGUCAGCCCUGCCACAUAUCACUAAUGACUUGAACUUGGGCAUCUGGCUCCCUUUGGUUUGGGGGUCUGCCUGAGGUCCCACCCCACUAAAGGACUCCCCAGGCCUGGGAUCUGACACCAUCACCAGUAGGAGACCUCAGUGUUUUGGGUCUAGGUGAGAGCAGGCCCCUCUCCCCACACCUCGCCCCACAGAGCUCUGUUCUUAGCCUCCUGUGCUGCGUGUCCAUCAUCAGCUGGCCAAGACACCUGAGGACACAUCUUGGCACCCAGAGGAGCAGCAGCAACAGGCUGGAGGGAGAGGGAAGCAAGACCAAGAUGAGGAGGGGGGAAGGCUGGGUUUUUUGGAUCUCAGAGAUUCUCCUCUGUGGGAAAGAGGUUGAGCUUCCUGGUGUCCCUCAGAGUAAGCCUGAGGAGUCCCAGCUUAGGGAGUCACUACUGGAGGCAGAGAGGCAUGCAGGCGGGGUCCUAGGAGCCCCUGCUUCUCCAGGCCUCUUGCCUUUGAGUCUUUGUGGAACGGAUAGCCUCCCACUAGGACUGGGAGGAGAAUAACCCAGGUCUUAAGGACCCCAAAGUCAGGAUGUUGUUUGAUCUUCUCAAACAUCUAGUUCCCUGCUUGAUGGGAGGAUCCUAAUGAAAUACCUGAAACAUAUAUUGGCAUUUAUCAAUGGCUCAAAUCUUCAUUUAUCUCUGGCCUUAACCCUGGGUCCUGAGGCUGUGGCCAGCAGAGCCCAGGCCAGGGCUCUGUUCUUGCCACACCUGCUUGAUCCUCAGGUGUGGAGGGAGGUAGGCACUGCCUCAGUCUUCAUCCAAACACCUUUCCCUUUGCCCUGAGACCUCAGAAUCUUCCCUUUAACCCAAGACCCUGCCUCUUCCACUCCACCCUUCUCCAGGGACCCUUAGAUCACAUCACUCCACCCCUGCCAGGCCCCAGGUUAGGAAUAGUGGUGGGAAGAAGGGGAAAGGGCUGGGCCUCACCGCUCCCAGCGACUGAAAGGACAACACUAUCUGGAGCCACCCACUGAAAGGGCUGCAGGCAUGGGCUGUACCCAAGCUGAUUUCUCAUCUGGUCAAUAAAGCUGUUUAGACCAG
rnacentral:sRNA from 1 species